rnacentral:rRNA from 1 species
GUGGGGAAUAUUGGACAAUGGGCGCAAGCCUGAUCCAGCCAUGCCGCGUGAGUGAUGAAGGCCUUAGGGUUGUAAAGCUCUUUUGUCCGGGAAGAUAAUGACUGUACCGGAAGAAUAAGCCCCGGCUAACUUCGUGCCAGCAGCCGCGGUAAUACGAAGGGGGCUAGCGUUGCUCGGAAUCACUGGGCGUAAAGGGCGCGUAGGCGGACUUUUAAGUCGGAGGUGAAAGCCCAGGGCUCAACCCUGGAAUAGCCUUCGAUACUGGGAGUCUUGAGUUCGGAAGAGGUUGGUGGAACUGCGAGUGUAGAGGUGAAAUUCGUAGAUAUUCGCAAGAACACCGGUGGCGAAGGCGGCCAACUGGUCCGAAACUGACGCUGAGGCGCGAAAGCGUGGGGAGCAAACAGGAUUAGAUACCCCGGUAGUCC